GACGAACGCUGGCGGCGUGCUUAACACAUGCAAGUCGAACGAAGAGCGAUGGAAGCUUGCUUCUAUCAAUCUUAGUGGCGCACGGGUGAGUAACGCGUAAUCAACCUGCCCUUCAGAGGGGGACAACAGUUGGAAACGACUGCUAAUACCGCAUACGAUCUAAUCUCGGCAUCGAGGAUAGAUGAAAGGUGGCCUCUACAUGUAAGCUAUCACUGAAGGAGGGGAUUGCGUCUGAUUAGCUAGUUGGAGGGGUAACGGCCCACCAAGGCGAUGAUCAGUAGCCGGUCUGAGAGGAUGAACGGUCACAUUGGGACUGGGACACGGCCCAGACUCCUACGGGAGGCAGCAGUGGGGAAUCUUCCGCAAUGGACGAAAGUCUGACGGAGCAACGCCGCGUGAGUGAUGACGGCCUUCGGGUUGUAAAGCUCUGUUAAUCGGGACGAAAGGCCUUCUUGCGAAUAGUGAGAAGGAUUGACGGUACCGGAAGAGAAAGCCACGGCUAACUACGUG
rnacentral:rRNA from 1 species